GGAAGCGUGCCCGAAAGAUAAGGACCUCCUUGAUAGGG
rnacentral:tRNA from 1 species